GGUACCUCACCAGAGUUGCAAGUAUUGACGGCAAUAAGAUGUUGGGGACGUCGUAAGGUUCAAGAAGAUGCUGGAGACCUUCAUGGAUUAUCUCAAGCUACUACUAGCCAUAUAUGCAACAGGGUGGCGCGGGCGCUAGCACGACAUUCAUCAGAGUUUAUAAAGAUGCCUACAUCUCUUGCAGAAGAACAGAAGCUGAUGGUUUAAUUCCGCCAAAUAAGGAACUUCCCAUCAAUAAUUGACUGCAUUGAUUGUACCCAUAUUAAAAUAAAAAAGCAUGGCGGUGAUUUAGCUCAAUAUUAUGUUAAUAGAAAGGGUUAUUACUCUCUCAAUGUUCAGGUGACCUGUGAUGCUAGUCUGCGCAUCAGAGACAUAGUUGCAAGGUGGCGAGGAAGCACUCAUGAUGAUAUUUAACGAAUCCAUCCUUAGAGAACGCUUUGAAGCAGGGGAGUUUAGAGGAAGAUUGCUAGAUGACUUUGGAUACAGACUAGAGCCAUAUUUGUUUACACCGAUAAUAAAUCCACAUAACCAUGCUGAACAAAAUUAUAAUGAGGCACAUAUUGCAACAAGAAAUGUUGUAGAACGUUGUUUUGGUGUAUGGAAACAGCGCUUUCAAUACCUGCUCCAUGGCAUGCCAAUGAAAUUAGGGAUUGUUAAAACUACUGUUAUGGCAGUUUUGCACAAUAUUGCAAUUGUACAUAAAGAUACAAAUGUGGUAGAGGAUAAUUGUGAGCCCAGUACAGAAGAGCUACCAGAACAGCCCAGUAACAUGGACUCGAACCAUAGGCGAGGUAGAAAUGCUGCAAUCUUGCAAGCUUUUAUUGCAAGGCACUUCGAUGAAUAAACUUCUCCUCACU